AGCAGCCGCGGUAAUUCCAGCUCCAAUAGCGUAUAUUAAAGUUGUUGCAGUUAAAAAGCUCGUAGUUGAAUUUCGGGGUUAGUAGGUUGGUCGUGCCACUGGUACGUACUGGUCUCACUGAUUCCUCCCUCUUGAAGAUCUGUAAUGUCAUUAAUUUGAUGUUGCGGGGAAUCAGGACUGUUACUUUGAAAAAAUUAGAGUGUUUAAAGCAGGCUUACGCUUGAAUACAUUAGCAUGGAAUAAUGAAAUAGGACGUAUGAUCCUAUUUUGUUGGUUUCUAGGAUUGACGUAAUGAUUAAUAGGGAUAGUUGGGGGCAUUAGUAUUCAAUUGUCAGAGGUGAAAUUCUUGGAUUUAUUGAAGACUAACUACUGCGAAAGCAUUUGCCAAGGAUGUUUUCAUUAAUCAAGAACGAAAGUUGGGGGAUCGAAGACGAUCAGAUACCGUCGUAGUCUUAACCAUAAACUAUGCCGACUAGGGAUCGGAUGAUGUUAAUUUUUUUAAUGACUCAUUCGGCGCCUU
rnacentral:rRNA from 1 species